CUUGAUUGUUUUCAUAGAGGUAAUGACAUCAUGUGUUUUUCUUUCUAUUUUUGAAGGUGAAGGUAUUUGCGCCUAAUGUCGAGCAGAUGCUCAUCGUUAAUCACUUGAAAGGGAGCCCAACAGAAAGAAGAGAAAUGUGCUGGAGGAAAGUGCCAGGAGAGCCCGGAGGGACGUCCAAGACUUGGCAGACCUGAACUCGAGCAAGCUUGAUGCUGUCAUUCUACCUGCUUUCAAUGGAUCAAAAGUGAGAUUCGAUUCAAGGAGAGGGGACCCCAAAAGGGCAUCAAUACCAGGAGGCAUGGAUAUUGGAUAACUGUCUUUGGAGACAUGCUACACAUUAUGAAUAAAAUGUACCACCGAAGACCUGGACUGAACCCAAUAGAAAGUGAAAAGUGGCUGAGGAUUAUAAAAGCAGCAAAGACCAGGCCUUCUCAGAGAUGCCUUUGGAGACUCUGCCCGGGGUAAGUCUGAGACCUUCUCCUGUCUUGGUGGAUGUCAGCAGAGAGAAGCAGUGACCCUACCAAGGACUCAGGACCCACUUGACUGGUGUGUUAACCAUUGGUCACCAGCACGGUUGCUGUGGUUUGUUACCUGCCUCUGAUUAUUCCCUGUGCGUUGAUAUUAAUUGCAUGGUUGGUGGUGUGUGAAGUCCUCUGUAUAAACAGUGAAUUUGAUCACAUGUAAUUGGCUAUUGAGACAUUGUGAAAGUGGAAGCUUCUGUUGGAGUUAGUGCCCGUAAGUGUGAACUUAAUUAACAUAUCCAUUGGCAUGGCCGGUAAUAUCUUGUUUUAUGAAUCUUGUAACUUCUCAGUGUCUUUGAGAAAAUUACUUCAAAUAUUAAAUACAAGUUUUCU
rnacentral:lncRNA from 10 species